rnacentral:rRNA from 1 species
AGUUAACGCUGGCGGCGUGCCUAACACAUGCAAGUCGAGCGAGGUUUUUACAGUUUAUCGUAAGACCUAGCGGCAGACGGGUGAGUAACACGUGGGAAACCUGCACUAAAGCGGGGGAUACCCCCGGGAAACCGGGGCUAAUACCGCAUAAGACCACAACCUGGCAUCAGGAAGGGGUCAAACCCGCAAGGGGCUUUGGGAUGGUCCCGCGUCCUAUCAGCUAGUUGGUGAGGUAACGGCUCACCAAGGCUAUGACGGGUAGCCGGCCUGAAAGGGUGUACGGCCACACUGGAACUGAGACACGGUCCAGACUCCUACGGGUGGCAG